rnacentral:rRNA from 1 species
UACGGAGGGAGCAAGCGUUGUUCGGAUUUACUGGGCGUAAAGGGCGCGUAGGCGGUCAGCACAAGUCAGUUGUGAAAUCUCCGGGGCUUAACUCGGAAAGGUCAACUGAUACUGUGCGACUAGAGUGCAGAAGGGGCAACUGGAAUUCUCGGUGUAGCGGUGAAAUGCGUAGAUAUCGAGAGGAACACCGGUGGCGAAGGCGGUUCUCUGGGCCUUACCUGACGCUGAGGAGCGAAAGCGUGGGGAGCAAACAGGG